CCUACGGGUGACAGCAGUGAGGAAUAUUGGUCAAUGGCCGGAAGGCUGAACCAGCAAAGCCGCGUGAAGGACGAAGGUGCCAAGCAUUGUAAACUUCUUUUGUCAAGGGACAAAAUCAGGCUCCAGAGCCUGACCGAGGGUACUUGAAGAACAAGCAUAGGCUAACUCCGUGCCAGCAGCCGCGGUAAUACGGAGGAUGCUAGCGUUAUCCGGAUUGAUUGGGGUAAAGGGGGCCGUAGGCGGACUGUUAAGUCAGCGGUAAAAGACCGGGGUUCAACCCCGGCGAGCCGUUGAAACUGGCUGUCUUGAGAUGUCGAGAGGUAUGCGGAAUGCGCAGUGUAGCGGUGAAAUGCUUAGAUAUUGCGCAGAACUCCGAUUGCGAAGGCAGCAUACCGGCGGCGAUCUGACGCUGAGGCACGAAAGCGUGGGUAUCGAACAGGAUUAGAUACCCCAGUAGUC
rnacentral:rRNA from 1 species